AGCCGAAAAUGGAAGUAAACUUGUGCGGAUACCGCGUGGGCAAGAUAGUCUUGAUCUACCAUUACCUGCUGGUGUGACACAUGUAACUGCUGAAGCUGCAACUGAGAUUUUGGAGCUGAAUGCUGGGUUGAAUGCCGUACUAUUUUCAACUUCAUUGGAAGCAAGCAUAGAGAUCAGUCGCCUACGGCAAGAGAUUGAGAAAUUGAAGAACACCUCGGGAACAACCAUUGCAAGUUCAGGUAUUGGUGAAGACGUCAUAGAUGAUGAUGCAGAACAUGAGUUUCGCACAAAAUUUAAAGCUGACCACAUAGGUAGAAAAGGAAAGACAAAAAUUGUGAUACCAGAAGAGCAUGAAGAAGAUGAGGAAGAGGAAGAAGAAGAGGAAGAAGAGGAAGAUGAAGAGGAAGAUGAAGACGAUGCUUGGAUCGACGAGACA